UACGGAGGGGGCAAGCGUUGUUCGGAAUUACUGGGCGUAAAGGGCUCGUAGGCGGCCAACUAAGUCCGACGUGAAAUCCCCAGGCUUAACCUGGGAACUGCGUCGGAUACUGGAUGGCUUGAAUCCGGGAGAGGGAUGCGGAAUUCCAGGUGUAGCGGUGAAAUGCGUAGAUAUCUGGAGGAACACCGGUGGCGAAGGCGGCAUCCUGGACCGGCAUUGACGCUGAGGAGCGAAAGCCAGGGGAGCAAACGGG
rnacentral:rRNA from 1 species